AGAGAGUUCUUAUCAAAGUGGCCUAAGAUCCAAGCAGAGGCCUUACCAUCUUAGGAUGCUGUCCUUUCGAUGUAUGCAUCUAUGAUUGUCCACGGAGGAAAAGAGUUUGAAGGCUUUGCGACAGCAAUUAAAUACUCCAACCUAGGACUGACACACUCUUCUCGUGGUCAUCUUUUAACAACAAAACAAAUAACGUCUUCAUUCCUAACUUUGCAGGAGUAAGUGCAAUUCUCUGUUCCUAGAAGGAGAACAGAACCUAAAAUAAUAACAAUCAGUAGCAGUGUUACCACAGAGGGAAAUUUCAUCACUUAGUGCCCAAGUCAUGACAUGAUAAUAAUAUACCUGAUAUUUUAUCAUCUUUUCUUAAAAGUUUUUUUGCAAAUACCUUCCUAAAGAUAGCACCAUGCUGGGACACACAGGAAAAUUUAAGUAUAUCAUUAAAAGAGAGAAAGAAGAACGAUGACAUUUCAGAGGAAAAUCAUUGCCAAUAAGAUUUGAGAUUUGUUAUUUGUUAGAGGGACUUGGACUCACAAAGUCAUGGGAGCUGGUUGAGCAGUCUCUGCAAAGCUGUUGCCUUGGUGCCUGAAGAUGAAGCUUGAGUUCUCCAAGGCAAUGGAUGGAAAGGCAAGAUGGAUAUAAAGUUGGAGAGGACAAGAAAAAAGUGGGAACCACAAAAAUGUUGUGAGGCCCACUGGGACAGAUUGAAACCAUUUCAGUAUGGCUGCCUCUGACUCUGGUGGUCUGGUAUCCCGCUGAAGCUGAGACACUUUAUCGCUGAGUUCCAAGAUGGUCUUUCCUUCCGUAUCUAUGGUCAAUAUGAAAGAUGAGCCUUGCAAAAAGAAAUGAAUUUGUGGACUCCGUGUUGGGCAAAGUCACACAGAGGACAUGACCACAGUUGACCCAAGAGCUGAACUUCAGCAAUCAGAGGAUCCUCAUCUCCUCCACUGUCCUUGGAAUGUGAAUUCUGCUUGAUUUCUCACCCCCAGAGGCUGCUCCAAGGUCAUAGCCUCAAGAUAGUGAUGUGACAUUGGGACCAUCUGGAUGGUGUAUGUGGGUGAAGGUAGUUACAGCAUCUACAUUUAAGAGUUGCCAGAGGGAUAUGAAGAUCUAUUUGUCUCUCAUGGUGACCCAAGAAAAGCCCCCUGUGUAAGUUUCCUUGCUUAAUAAACCUGCCACCUACCAA